UGGACAGAUUAUUGUAUUCGACUGUAUUCACGGCGUGAAACAGCGGAUUACACUAUUUUUAAACGGGAAGUGAAUCAAUUAACAUAAUAGACUCCU
rfam:Nicotiana sylvestris Nsyl_contig5315, whole genome shotgun sequence.